rnacentral:misc_RNA from 1 species
GAUGAAGAACGUAGCGAAAUGCGAUAAGUAAUGUGAAUUGCAGAAUUCAGUGAAUCAUCGAAUCUUUGAACGCACAUUGCGCCCGCCAGUAUUCUGGCGGGCAUGCCUGUUCGAGCGUCAUUUCAACCAUCAAGCCCCCGGCUUGUGUUGGGGACCUGCGGCUGCCGCAGGCCCUGAAAACCAGUGGCGGGCUCGCUAGUCACUCCGAGCGUAGUAAUACAUCUCGCUCAGGGCGUGCUGCGGGUUCCGGCCGUUAAAAAGCGUUAUUUACCCAAGGUUGACCUCGGAUCAGGUAGGAAGACCCGCUGAACUUAAGCAUAUCAAUAAGCGGAGGA